rnacentral:rRNA from 1 species
GAACUUAAGCAUAUCAAUAAGCGGAGGAAAAGAAACCAACAGGGAUUGCCUCAGUAACGGCGAGUGAAGCGGCAACAGCUCAAAUUUGAAAUCUGGCUCUUUCAGGGUCCGAGUUGUAAUUUGUAGAAGAUGCUUUGGGUGUGGCUCCGGUCUAAGUUCCUUGGAACAGGACGUCAUAGAGGGUGAGAAUCCCGUACGUGACUGGUUGCCUCCGCCCGUGUAAAGCUCUUUCGACGAGUCGAGUUGUUUGGGAAUGCAGCUCAAAAUGGGUGGUAAAUUUCAUCUAAAGCUAAAUAUUGGCCAGAGACCGAUAGCGCACAAGUAGAGUGAUCGAAAGAUGAAAAGCACUUUGGAAAGAGAGUUAAACAGUACGUGAAAUUGUUGAAAGGGAAGCGCUUGCAACCAGACUUGCAUGCGGUUGAUCAUCCGAGCUUCUGCCCGGUGCACUCGAUCGUAUUCAGGCCAGCAUCGGUUUUGGUGGGCGGAUAAAGGCCUUGGGAAUGUAGCUUCCUUCGGGGAGUGUUAUAGCCCUCGGUGCAAUGCGCCCUACCGGGACCGAGGACCGCGCUUCGGCUAGGAUGCUGGCGUAAUGGUUGUAAGCGACCCGUCUUGAAACACGGACCAAGGAGUCUAACAUCUAUGCGAGUGUUUGGGUGUCAAACCCAUACGCGUAAUGAAAGUGAGCGGAGGUGAGAACCCUUAAGGGUGCAUCAUCGACCGAUCCUGAUGUCUUCGGAUGGAUUUGAGUAAGAGCAUAGCUGUUGGGACCCGAAA